UUAGAAUUAGAGAAAGCUAGACUCUGCUGUUAUAGAUUGACAGAGAUAUGUCAGGAAGCGAUCAACCCAGAACAGUGAAGUUAUUGUGCCCGUCACUGUCGAAGAUAGUGGCAUUCUCGGCAUGGGAUGACCAGAAACUGGACUUGGGAUUGAUAGCCAGGGCCUUGGGGCUAGAACCAUCAACGUUGAAGCUCAAUGGUCACUUCAUCAGCAGAGGUGUUGAUCUUGUAUCCUCCUCUGUCACGUGGAGAUCGCUUCUCAAGUUCUUCUCUGCUAAGGGGUUAUCCACUGGUAAAGACGAUAAAGAUGCUCUUAUUGUCCAUGGCAAGCUCUGCAAAUCUGGGAGUAAGCGAACACACGAUCCUCAAGAUGCAGCGCCUGCUAGUAGAGUUAAUUACAGAACUGAAACAGAGGAAGUUAGUACAGGGCCACAGCCUGAACAUGUCAUUAACUUCCUCAUGAAUAAGAAGUUAAAGGAAAACAAUUCAGGUAAAAGUCUGAAGUUUUUGUCAUUGCAUGAGAUGGUGGUUCGCUGUAAUUGACUAUUGUAUGGUUCUCCAGGAUGUCACCAAUUGUCCAAAUGCAAUGGUCUUGGUUUCAAGAGGAAACAAUUGUUGGAAGACGUCAAUUCAUUCAAGAAGUUAAAGAUAAAUGAAGCCAACUCAGGUAUUUCGCAUAUAAACUUCAUCCUGCAACUUGGAUGCUUAAGAACUUUAUGAACAUGUGGGUAUGAGAUUAAUAAUCCUGAUUUCUAGCUGGUGUUGCAAUUGGCUUUGCUCAUUUUGGUUUUUGCCUUUAUCAAAUAUGAAUGUUUUUGCAACACUCUUUCUGUUCAAGGCUACUUUCCUGAUGUGAAGGUCAAGCGAUAGCUUAGCAUUAAGAAUGACACAUUUUUGUGGGCCAUUUUCCAGGACUUGGAGAAAAGAGGAAAUAACUACCCCAGCAUCGUUUCAAGCAGCAAAUUGAAAUGCAGCUACAUGAGCGGCAAUGUGAAACGGAUGAGAGAAGAUGAGGUGAUCCUGGCUGCUCCUUGCAAAAGAAUCAGAUGAAAUUUCCAUUACUUACAGUUUCUUUGCUACCUUUUAUUGAAAAUGGGAAUUUUUCUUGAUAAACACACGUUGGUUUCCAGUUCAUCAGAUCCCAAAUUUGUAAAUGAUAAACAUUACAAGAGGAGGGAGCAAACUGAAUUUUGUAAAUCUUGUAUGCAAUUAUUAAAGAAACCACAUUGUGAUUGGCUUGUGAAUUGUGAUAUUGAAUGUGGACUAUGGAGAUCAUUUACUAAGACAAAUGGAUUUCAAAAAGGUUUACUAACAUCCAAAUGAUACAAAAUUGGCUACAAAUGAAUGUCACUUGAUUUGAUGGCAGAAACAAUCCUUUUACUAAUCCCUAACUCGAGUAUGCUUCCUUCUCUAAUGUAUUGCACACUAAAGUUCUUAAUUCAGUAAUUGAAGAUGUCAUCCAAAAUAGUAUUGCCAAGCAACAGCUAACACAGCUACUAAAAAGACUUUCAACAGCAAUUUAGAACUAAUCAAGGAUGAUGAAUUAGAUGGUGACUGAGGAGUUUCCUGUGGUCUUCCUCUUAGCUUAGCAGAUAACUUUGAAAGCAGCCCAGAAAGCGGAGUGGUUUUGCCAGCUACAAGCAGAACAACAAAAAGUAGAGAUCAAAAGCAGCAUUGAUGAGGAAGUCAAACUAACUAAAAAGCAGCAAGAAAGCGAAAUACAAUGGAUCGACUCAAAACAAAUAACCAAGAUUGUCAAGAAAACAAUCAAUGGCCGUCAAUAUGAGUAAUUUUUCCUCCCUCAAAACAAACAAGCAUUUUUACAAGUAAAUAAUUGCUAACUAACGUGAUAGCUUAAUCAUUGAAUAAAUUAGCAUUUAAUCAAAUAAUUUAAAAAUUGCAUAUUAUCAGCAACAUCAAUAUUAUAAAUCUUGAAUUAAUCCAUGAGAAGGCUGCUCAUGUAUCAUUAUAAUAACUGUUUUCACCAUGAAGCAAUUUCAACCUGAUCAAAGAGAUAAAGUUACCUUUGCUUUUAAGAAGCCUUUCCUCCUCAUCCACACGCCUUCGAAGAACAUUUAGCAAUGAUCCAAAAUACAAUGCAAAUACAGUGCAUGUGAUUGUGAUGACAUUGUAUGGCAUGCUAAAAUCAGGAGUUGUCAACGGCACAAGUAAUACUUCUGUAUAAGAGAGAACAGGAUUUUUUUCCUGAAAUUUUGACAACAUAGGUGACUUGUCCACAGAACAAUUGCCAGGAAAAAGCAAGCUGGUAUAAAAGUUGGGAAAGCUUAUUGCAGCUGAUGGAAUAUCAAAUCCUUGAUUAGCAUCUGGAGGAUAUUCAUCGAUGUGUAGGAAACCCUUAUCAAACUCUAAUGUUAAAGCAGCUGAUUUCACAUCACAAGGAAAUUGCAAAACCAUCUCCAUGACUCCAGGUGAUAUCUUGUCUUUGGAAGGUGAAACGUGAAUCGUCUCUAUAACAUCUCCAACUGCCUUUGGUUGGCCAUUCACAAACAACUGAAGAGUAUGAUAAUAUACCUUAACAUACCAAGGUACAACUUGGAAAACAUCAACUCGGAAUUUAUAUCCAUUACUACUGCUACAAGUACCCAAGGAGGCAUCAUUUAAGUCUGCAGAUUUCAACAGGAUAGCAAUUGCACCCCUUUCAUUCCCACUUCCCAUCAAGAACCUACUAGCAUGUAACGGUGCUGGUUCAGAUGACCACGUUACAGGAAAUUUCCAUUUAAGGCCUAGAUCAAAAGGCUGAGAGUCACUGUAUUUAUCGAUGGAAAACUCAAAAAGGACUGAAGAGCCCCUUCUGUGACUGCUAUUCUCUUCUUCAAACACCUUGUCUGGUCUAACUGACAAUUCAAACCCAGUUCCACUCCAAAACCCUUCAGAAGCUAUAUUGCCAACCCCAUUAUUCUUGUUUUUCUUUAGUUCGGCAACUAGACCUCUCUCAAGCUGAAGGUAUACAUUACUAGACUUUGCAAGAACACAUCUUCCACUGACUUUCCUUCCAAAUAUUGAACUCAAAGACCAGCUUGGUUGAACAUUCUUUUCACCAGAGUAAGUCACACUAGUUCUCUGACUAUUAGGCUGAAGAACAACAGUAAGUGUUUGUUCAAGAAUGAUGCCUGGAUUCAUCCCCUCUGGACCAGAUUUAUUAGAGGUCAAAUGCAACCGCUGAGAAUGAUAAAAACUUUUAUAAAUUGAUGGCCUGUCCAUUAAUGCAGAAAGCCCAUCUUUGUCUCGACAAGGAAGGAGCUUCAACCAUGGAGUUAGGUUCUCAGUGCAAACAGCUUCACGGGGCAGCAUACCGUACCUUAUAUUGCCUGUAGCUGGCCGGAAGCUCCACUGAGGAGCUGAAUACAUUGUAGAGGACUCAAGGAAGUUAAUUGAAGCACAGAAAAGACCUGAAAGAGUGUGGGUUAAGUUCUUCCAAGUAGCAUCAACUUGGUCUUGAGGGACAUCAAAGACGGCCCACAGCUCAACUCCAGGAGGCUUAGCAUUGCUGCUCGAUAUGGGGUCAAAUCCACCCCACAGUUCAUAGUUCCAACGACCUUGUGUGAAAGACAAUUCCAUUUCCUUAAUCUGAAAUUUCUGUACCAGCUGAGAAAUGGCUUUGGGGAAGAGGUGAUGGUGGCGGCCAUUGGAAUUUGAGGAAGGAGCUGUGCUUUGGAAGUGGAAAUGCGCCAACACUUUCCGAUCAGGCAACGGCCUCAACAACAAUUCCUCAUAGAACUCUUCUCGUUCUUGGUCUAUGGUCGAUCCAAAGGAGAUUAUAGGAGUAAAGAUGUUGGAUACAAGUAAUAGAAAGAUAAAGAAGUGUGUCGAUUUUAGUGGAAUCGCCAUUACAUCGAUUGGUCUAAUGCUCAUAAGAGAAACGCGGUGCAAACAGCUUCCGCCAUUGCAGACCGGCUUUGAUUUGGUUCAAAGGCAGAGCUCGCAGAACUUCACUUCGCGAGCUUUUGGGCCG
rnacentral:misc_RNA from 1 species